UUGGUAUGAGCUUUUGUGUGCAUGCACACUUCUUCAGAUACCUGAUAUCUGAUACCUGAUAUCUGAAGAAGUGCAUGCACACAAAAGCUCAUACCAG